rnacentral:rRNA from 1 species
CCUACGGGAGGCAGCAGUGAGGAAUAUUGGUCAAUGGCCGUAAGGCUGAACCAGCCAAGUAGCGUGAGGGAAGACUGCCCUAUGGGUUGUAAACCUCUUUUAUGCGGGGAUAAAGGUGUCCACGUGUGGAUGUUUGCAGGUACCGCAUGAAUAAGGACCGGCUAAUUCCGUGCCAGCAGCCGCGGUAAUACGGAAGGGCCGGGCGUUAUCCGGAUUUAUUGGGUUUAAAGGGAGCGUAGGCCGGUCUUUAAGCGUGCCGUGAAAUUUUGUGGCUCAACCAUGAGAGUGCGGCGCGAACUGGAAACCUUGAGUGCGCGGAAGGCAGGCGGAAUUCGUGGUGUAGCGGUGAAAUGCUUAGAUAUCACGAAGAACCCCGAUGGCGAAGGCAGCCUGCCGCAGCGUUACUGACGCUGAGGCUCGAAAGCGCGGGUAGCGAACAGGAUUAGAUACCCUAGUAGUC